CUCCCAGGCCGUCAGCAGAGAGUCCUGUCCUCCCAGGCCGUCAGCAGAGAGUCCUGUCCUCCCAGGCCGUCAACCUGUUACAGCAGAGAGUCCUGUCCUCCCAGGCCGUCAGCAGAGAGUCCUGUCCUCCCAGGCCGUCAGCAGAGAGUCCUGUCCUCCCAGGCCGUCAACCUGUUACAGCAGAGAGUCCUGUCCUCCCAGGCCGCCAACCUGUUACAGCAGAGAGUCCUGUCCUCCCAGGCCGUCAGCAGAGAGUCCUGUCCUCCCAGACCGUCAGCAAAGAGUCCUGUCCUCCCAGGCCGUCAGCAGAGAGUCCUGUCCUCCCAGGCCGUCAGCAGAGAGUCCUGUCCUCCCAGGCCGUCAGCAGAGAGUCCUGUCCUCCCAGGCCGUCAGCAGAGAGUCCUGUCCUCCC